rnacentral:rRNA from 1 species
UGGGGAAUAUUCCGCAAUGGACGAAAGUCUGACGGAGCAACGCCGCGUGAGUGAUGAAGGUUUUCGGACUGUAAAGCUCUGUUGUUUGGGACGAAAGUGCCUGUUGCGAACAGUUACGGGUAUUGACGGUACUAAACGAGGAAGCCACGGCUAACUACGUGCCAGCAGCCGCGGUAAUACGUAGGUGGCAAGCGUUGUCCGGAAUUAUUGGGCGUAAAGAGCAUGUAGGCGGGAAUCUAAGUCUGUUGUGAAAAUGCGGGGCUCAACCCCGUAUUGCGAUGGAAACUGGGUUUCUUGAGUGCAGGAGAGGAAAGGGGAAUUCCCAGUGUAGCGGUGAAAUGCGUAGAUAUUGGGAGGAACACCAGUGGCGAAGGCGCCUUUCUGGACUGUGUCUGACGCUGAGAUGCGAAAGCCAGGGUAGCGAACGG